rnacentral:lncRNA from 1 species
ACAUAAAUGGUUAGAACUGCUCAAAAAAAGAAAUAAACUACAAUUAAGUUCAAAGUAUUUAAUACUAUAUCAAGAAUUAAUCAUUUUCAUUGCUUUUUAUUUUUCUUUUCCCUGUACCAUUGUAUCAACCAUUUCACUCUGGGGGGAUUUAUCACCUAGAUUUUAAGUAAUAAGAAUUGGAAUCUUUUGGCACCCCUAAUUUAAUCUGAACCUGCCUUGCUUAUAUGAAUGUAUCAUGUUCAUAUAAGUAUAAAUCACAUUAUGAAUAAUAAUAUGAUUACACCCAUAAAAAGAAAAACAAAUUGAUAUCUUGAAAUAUUAUAAAUUAUAUACAAUGUUAUUCCAUAAAUGUAUUUAUAAAUCUAAGGUAUUAAAUUGUUUUCACGUCAUCUAAUAUCAGUCCAUAAAAGAAUGAACUUCCUCAUUUCUUUAACAAAAAUCAUUAAACCAUUUUGACAGUAGAUAGUUUAUUGACGGAAUCAUUGUAUAUAAUAUAAAGGUGAUAUUUAACACUGAGUUUACAGGAGAACGUGCCCGGAGCCUGCCACCUGCAAUGCUGUUCCCACAUACAACCAGGGUAACCUGCAUCUCACCCUGGAGGGCUGAGUCGGUCUUCGCUGAGCACCAUGGGAAGGUCACUGAUUUAACCAUUAGGAAUAGCUGCAUUGUAGGCCCUGUUCCAUAGAAAACUCAUUCUGACCUCAAAGUAUUAAAUCUGUGAGUAUCUCACGUGCCAAAUGAGGAUAUCUUCCUGAUCUUUCCUACUUCAUAGAUUGGCUAAAAUCAGAAAAAAUGAUUAUUUGUUCUGAGAUGAGAAGUAUCAAUAUUUGAACCUCUCAUGUUUCUUUCGGUAUCUUUUCCUCAUCCUUGAAGAUAAAAAUAAGGCCAAAGGACAGACGCAGAUGCACAGACACAUUCAUACAUACAUACACACACACACACACCCCCCAUCAACAUCAGUUCUCAAUGCAUUUUUAUUUUUUUUAAAUUUUAUUGCAUGUCCUGGCAAACAUAAGUGGCUUGUAGAUUUGCCUCUGGCUCACCAAAAGCCCAUUACACAAAAUACCAAAAGACAAGCAACCGAAGCUUAA